rnacentral:tRNA from 1 species
GGCAGCAUAGUGUAGUGGUUUGAGCGCUAAACUAUGACUUUGGAGACCAGGGUCCAAAUCUCUGCUCAGCCA